rnacentral:rRNA from 1 species
CCUACGGGCGGCAGCAGUGAGGAAUAUUGGUCAAUGGGCGAGAGCCUGAACCAGCCAAGUCGCGUGAGGGAGUACUGCCCUAUGGGUUGUAAACCUCUUUUGCCGGGGAGCAAAAGCCGGACGUGUCCGGCUGCGAGAGUACCCGAAGAAAAAGCAGCGGGCAACUCCGUGCCCGCAGGCGCGGGAAAAAGGAGGAUGCGAGCGUUAGCCGGAUUGAUUGGGGUUAAAGGGGGCGCAGGCUGGUUUUUAAGUCAGCGGUCAAAUCGUGCGGCUCAACCCCGUCCAGCCGUUGAAACUGGGGAUCUAGAGUGUGCGAGAGGUAUGCGGAAUGCGUGGUGUAGCGGUGAAAUGCAUAGAUAUCACGCAGAACCCCGAUUGCGAAGGCAGCAUACCGGUGCACGACUGACGCUCAGGCACGAAGGCGUGGGUAUCGAACAGGAUUAGAUACCCGAGUAGUC